AGCGAACGCAGGCGGCAGGCCUAACACAUGCAAGUCGAACGAAGCCUUCGGGCUUAGUGGCGGACGGGUGAGUAACACGUGGGAACGUACCUUUUGGUUCGGAACAACUCAGGGAAACUUGAGCUAAUACCGGAUGAGCCCUUCGGGGGAAAGAUUUAUCGCCAUAAGAGCGGCCCGCGUUAGAUUAGCUAGUUGGUGAGGUAAAGGCUCACCAAGGCUACGAUCUAUAGCUGGUCUGAGAGGAUGAUCAGCCACACUGGGACUGAGACACGGCCCAGACUCCUACGGGAGGCAGCAGUGGGGAAUCUUGCGCAAUGGGCGAAAGCCUGACGCAGCCAUGCCGCGUGAAUGAUGAAGGUCUUAGGAUUGUAAAAUUCUUUUACCAGGGACGAUAAUGACGGUACCUGGAGAAAAAGCCCCGGCUAACUUCGUGCCAGCAGCCGCCGUAAUAC
rnacentral:rRNA from 1 species